CGUAGGGCGCAAGCGUUGUCCGGAAUCACUGGGUGUAAAGGGUGCGUAGGCGGAUGGGUAGGUCAGCGGUGAAAUCUCACGGCUCAACCGUGAAACUGCCGAUGAUACUGCCCAUCUUGAGUUCGGGAGAGGUCGAUGGAAUUCCAGGUGUAGCGGUGAAAUGCGUAGAUAUCUGGAAGAACACCAGUGGCGAAGGCGGUCGACUGGCCCGCAACUGACGCUGAGGCACGAAAGCGUGGGGAUCAAACAGGAUUAGAUACCCUGGUAGUCCACGCCCUAAACGAUGAAUGCUUGGUGUUGGCCUUUCGAGGUCAGUGCCGUAGGAAACCUGAUAAGCAUUCCACCUGGGGAGUACGCUCGCAAGGGUG
rnacentral:rRNA from 1 species